GCGGAUGUGGUGGAAUUGGUAGACACGCACGUUUGAGGGGCGUGUGGCUUCGGCCUUACGAGUUCAAGUCUCGUCAUCCGCA
rnacentral:tRNA from 13 species